UACGUAGGUGGCGAGCGUUGUCCGGAUUUACUGGGCGUAAAGAGCGCGCAGGCGGUCGUACAAGUCGCGUGUGAAAGCCCCCGGCUCAACUGGGGAGGGUCACGCGAUACUGUUCGACUCGAAGGCAGGAGAGGGAAGCGGAAUUCCCGGUGUAGUGGUGAAAUGCGUAGAUAUCGGGAGGAACACCAGUGGCGAAGGCGGCUUCCUGGCCUGUUCUUGACGCUCAUGCACGAAAGCGUGGGGAGCAAACAGG
rnacentral:rRNA from 1 species